GUAUCUUUGUGAUGUUGCAGUUAGCUUAACAACGAGAGAAUGUUGGAGAUAAGCUACAUUUAUUUUGCGACUAUAGUGUGGCUCAACUCGGAGUUUUAAACUGGAGUCGCCAUCUCUGCCAUGUGUCUAGCGGGCGCUUUAGCAGAAAGUGGAAAAAACAAGACAGGUGGGAAGUCAAAAUUGGAAAUCAAAGAAGAAGAAAGCGCUAAUUUUCACGGAGAGCAACACUGACAUUGACACAAAAAAGGAGGGCUACUGUGACCAAUCUAAUAUUGCCCCAGGAACAGAAAGUGUUUGUCCAUGGGUGUUCUGUUCCCAUCUGCCCCGGUUGCUGCCCCGCCUCGCUCCGGCAGUUCCUGAGCUGUCCGCUCAUCGAACAGGACCAGAGGACCCGUUGGUCACUGCUAACAGCCAUUCCAGAAACGUGGUGUAAUUGGUUUAUUGUGGGACGGGGAUAGAUUGGAUCGUAGCAUGGCAUCAGUUGAACCCAG